rnacentral:rRNA from 1 species
GAUGAACGCUAGCUACAGGCUUAACACAUGCAAGUCGAGGGGAAACGAUAAAGAAAGCUUGCUUUUUCUAGGCGUCGACCGGCGCACGGGUGAGUAACGCGUAUCCAACCUGCCCAUCACUUGGGGAUAACCUUGCGAAAGUAAGACUAAUACCCAAUGACGUCUCUAGAAGACAUCUGAAGGAGAUUAAAUAUUUAUCGGUGAUGGAUGGGGAUGCGUCUGAUUAGCUUGUUGGCGGGGUAACGGCCCACCAAGGCGACGAUCAGUAGGGGUUCUGAGAGGAAGGUCCCCCACAUUGGAACUGAGACACGGUCCAAACUCCUACGGGAGGCAGCAGUGAGGAAUAUUGGUCAAUGGACGAGAGUCUGAACCAGCCAAGUAGCGUGCAGGAUGACGGCCCUAUGGGUUGUAAACUGCUUUUAUAAGGGAAUAAAGUGAGCCACGUGUGGCUUUUUGCAUGUACCUUAUGAAUAAGGACCGGCUAAUUCCGUGCCAGCAGCCGCAGUAA